CAAAAUGCAAUGAGCACGUGAAGUAUAACGCAAAUGACACUCAGACCAAAAAAGAAUCAAAACACACUCAUUUCUCCCUCAUCCAAUCCUUCGUUUGUUUCGUUUCUCCCUACGUCGUGCCAGAGGCGGUUCUCGGCGGUGGAGGUUCCCAGAAAUCAAAUCACAACCGUCAACUUACUAACAAAGACGCGUUGAGUCCUAAUAUGACCUUGGAUGCUCCUAUUAUCUCAAGAAACAUACGAAUCGUGGAAGAGUCCAAAGAACCUUAAUUAAGAAAAUCUCAAAUUAAAUCGCAAUCAAGCCUCAUCUCGGUCCGAAACCAUGGGGUUAACGGUCCUCAACUCUCCAAUAACGGACUGGUAACAAGAAUUGAAAGGAAAAAGAUAGAAACAAGAAAGUCCUACCGGGAGCAGAUCAGAGAUGAAGAUAUGGAAUGAAUCGAGGUUCUUGUUUUGGAGUGUGGAAUUGCAUUGAAAUGGAUUGCUUGGCUAUGUUUGCUUGAUGGAGAUUUGGAUAUGGACAUUGCUCACUCAUGGAAUGCUUUGAAACUGUUUUGAAGCUAUCAUGUUCAUUGGGAUUGUUUUGUAAUUGGUUUAUGUAGAGUUUAGGCAUGAAUAUUGUAACGUAAUUUGGAAUUUGUUGUAAUGGAAUUGUAAUGGAAUUGGUUGAACAUGAUUUUGAAUAUAUGGUGCAAAUUGAAAGA